rnacentral:rRNA from 1 species
AUACGGAGGAUGCGAGCGUUAUCCGGAUUUAUUGGGUUUAAAGGGUGCAUAGGCGGUCGGGUAAGCGUUGGGUGAAAGUCCUUUGCUCAACAGAGGAAGUGCCUUCCGAACUGUUCGACUGGAGUGCUCCUGCCCUGGGAGGGAUUGGUGGCGUAGCGGUGAAAUGCAUAGAGAUCACACAGAACACCGAUUGCGAAGGCAUCUCGCGAAGGGGCUAUUGACGCUGAGGCACGAAAGCGUGGGGAUCAAACAGGAUUAGAUACCCUGGUAGUCCACGCAGUAAACGAUGAUGACUAACCGUCGGUCAAGACUGAUCGGUGGCCAAGCGAAAGCGAUAAGUCAUCCACCUGGGGAGUACGACCGCAAGGUUGAAACUCAAAUGAAUUGACGGGG